GAUGGAAAGAAGAAGCUUCACUGGAGAUCUUGGGCUUGGCUAUCGACCCCGAAGUCACUCGGUGGCAUGGGCUUCUGUGACAUGGCAUUGUUCAAUCAAGCGAUGCUUGGUAAACAGGGGUGGAGGCUACUGACCAAGCCUGGUUCCUUCUGUGCCCGCGUUUUGGAGGGUAGAUACUAUCCUAAUGGCAACUUCUAGAAUGCUUCUGUGCCACGGACGGCCUCGGCUACUUGGUGCGGUAUUAUUCAUGGCUAGGACCUUCUGAAGAGAGGUAUUCAGUGGGCAUUGGAGACCGGCGACAAACAAAAUUCUUUCUGA
rnacentral:rRNA from 1 species